CCUACGGGAGGCAGCAGUAGGGAAUAUUGCUCAAUGGGGGAAACCCUGAAGCAGCAACGCCGCGGGGAGGAUGAAGGUUUUCGGAUUGUAAACUCCUUUUGUUAGAGAAGAUAAUGACGGUAUCUAACGAAUAAGCACCGGCUAACUCCGUGCCAGCAGCCGCGGGAAUACGGAGGGUACAAACGUUACUCGGAAUCACUGGGCGUAAAGAGCGCGUAGGCGGGAUAGCAAGUCAGAUGUGAAAUCCUAUGGCUUAACCAUAGAACUGCAUUUGAAACUGUUAUUCUAGAGUAUGGGAGAGGUAGGUGGAAUUCUUGGUGUAGGGGUAAAAUCCGUAGAGAUCAAGAGGAAUACUCAUUGCGAAGGCGACCUGCUAGAACAUAACUGACGCUGAUGCGCGAAAGCGUGGGGAGCAAACAGGAUUAGAUACCCUUGUAGUC
rnacentral:rRNA from 1 species